rnacentral:lncRNA from 10 species
AGCCCAUAUCAAGACAGAGUGCUUUAAAGAUGGUGAAAAGAAAGAGUCCUUUAGUAUGAUAAAAGCUCCAGCUCAUGUAGGAACACAGCAUAAUUGCUUGCCUUGUGGAAGCGAACCGAAUCAGUGUCCCUCUGCUGAUAGUGUUAGUGACAGGUGAUUGCAUCAGGACACUGGAACAGCAGCCAGGGCCCUAAUGCCUGUGUUAUUUACUGGCCCAUCAUGUAUAAUUUCAGAAUUUAAUUUUAUCUUCACAAACUUACAGGUGCAAAAUGCAGGAUAAAGUUCUUUAAGGGGCCCCUGUGAGAAACCAGGCUACACUUGUCCUCCCUCCCCACAUCCGCAAGAGCUCUCAGGGCUCCUCUGACCAGGCCAUGAGUUGCUUUUGAUGAAAAUGGACACAAAAGCACAGCCAACCCUGAAAUCUGGGAGGCUGGUGGUACAGCAUCAGCUCAGAAUCCAACCAAACUUUGCAACUUGGUAGGAUGGGCUGUUAAGCCCUAGUGCUGCCAUGCUUAGCCAAUUAUUUGCCACAUAUUAGCUAUUUAAUCCUCAUGACAAGCUUAUGAGGUAGGUACUAUUAUUAUCCAUUAUCUACAGAUGAGGAAAUUGAGGUGGAGUGGCUAAAGUUACAUAACCAGUAGUGCUAGACUAGGAUUUGAAGCCAGGCAAAUAUAUGAGCAAGACAAGGUAUUUGGUGCUUUAGGUACAUAGAUGUCAUGUGGGACACAUUUCUGGCUUUCAAGGAGUCUAACAUUUAUUGGGGGAGACAGACAUUCAGACAUUUAC